GUGUUAUCAAGAAAGGUGAAGGGAUAGACCCGUAGAAGCCUUAGCAACCCUUUGUUUUUCCAACGAAAAAUUAGAGAAGGUGCUACAUUCUACCACAUAGUGGAAAGAUAACUA
rnacentral:ncRNA from 2 species